UCUGAUUCAUCAGUGUCUUUCUUUCAUUUCUUGCAGGGCUACUCUGUGGACUGUAUCUAUAAUCCUAUUUGGAAAAAACAUCAAAAGUCUAAAUUUGAGACCUGUUGUAAAAGUGAGACUGGAGCCUGACUGCCUUCCUGCCAGCCGCCCAAUACCCACCUCCAUGAAAGGACCUGGAGGGGAGCCAUCUGGGGCCUGAGAGAGAACACAGUCUGAGAGGCCUGAUCCAACAAUUACAUCUGUAUGGGUGUCUCUAAGCCCCCACUUCCGCCUGACCUCUCUGGUAUCUCCAGUCCCACACUUCCAACUUCCGGAGAGAAAGGUCUGCUUUGCUGCCUCACCCGGGCUGGCCCCCAAGCUCAACGCUCCUAGUUGAGCUCAUCAUUCCACCUUCUGGACCUGAAACCUAGAAUUAUUUUCAACUCCUACCACUCCCUUGGCACAGGUAACCCAUUAGUCACCACGCAUAGUCACCCACUGCUGGUAACGGCUUUCACACUCAUCCCAUUGUAAAUGGCUGUGAGAUUGCCGUGGGUGUCCAGCCUAUCAUACAGAUCAGGCAGAAUGGGACCCCGCCUGGAACAGGCUGGCAUCAGUAUGGCAAUCUGUCACUAACAGCAGAAGCUGUAACAGGAGUCAUGGCCAAUGGGGUAAGACGAAGAGAUGUGGUCAAGGUCAGCGCCAGAUUCCCCAGGCUAAGAGGGGUCAGACAAGCAGGGCAAGUAUAAGAAUUAAAGUCAAGAGCCAGAGCAGACCUGGAAACUGAGCUGGUUUGGGCUCGUAGGACAGAGCAUGGGCACUGUGACUGGAUUCUAGGGACAGAGUUUUUGCUUUGCGGGGGGUGGAGGGGGAAGUGAGUAGGGACCCUUGGAGAGGCCCAGGCCUGUGCUUUCUUAGCUGUGCCAUGGCCAGGUGUCAUGGAGCUGUGUAUCCUUAACAUGUUUCCUCUUCUCCACCCCCCUGCCUCACUCCAGCCCAGAGUGACUCCUUAUUUGCCUUGACUUUGAGAAAGCAUCUCUAUCUGCAACCCUGCAGCCUCUGGAGGGGAGCUACUAAUAUCUAUUGCACACCUGCUAAGGCCUUUUGUGUAUUUUAUCACAUUCAUCCCGACAGCAACACUGGAGAUAGAUGGUGACAUCUGACAUUUGUUCGGUGACUUUGGUUUCUAUUUUAUUUUCACAAGCACUAACUCAUUUGACCACUGGGUAACCCAGUGAAGUGGUCAGAGCCCUAUUCAGCAGAUGAGAAAUCCCUGGGGCCAGAGGGAUUAAAGUGACUUCCAGAAGUCACCCAGGUCCCUAUGACUCCAGGUGUUGCCCAGCAGUAUCUGCUGGAAGUUGUUAGAAACAACAGCAGGAUCUUGGGCUCACCCCAGGCCACCGAACCGGAAUCUGCAUCUGAAUCCUAACCCCGCGGGGGAUCACUGGCAUGGUGAAGUUGGCCUGAGUAGUUGUUCUAGGAGUCUGUACUAGAAAGCAGCCUUACAGGGCUAAGUCAGCUGCGGUCAGCGAUGGUGGACACCAAUACCCCAAGGUUACCUGCAGCUCUUAGAGUCAACACUGACCGCUGGCCAUCGGUGGGGAGUGAAGCUGACAGAGCCAGGGAUCGGAUGGAGAGAGAAGAGAAAGAGAAGUCAAGUCAAGGGGCAUUUGUGAAGCUUCUGCUGGGUGCCUGCUGCUAUGGCUCCAGGCAUACAUAGCAAAGAGGGCGAGGAGCUGAGGGUGUGUUUGGGGAGCAAGACACAGGAGCCAAUGCGGGAGGACUGCGACCCAGCACCUGGAAGCAAGCUGAGUGCUGGAGAAGGUGCUGGUCCAGCGGCAGUGGAGGGCCCUCCUGGGGGCAGCAGAAGGAAGGCGGGAGGAUGCCACUGGGCCGGGGUGUGCUGGGCCCUGCAGACGAGGCAAGUGAGUGCAGGUUCGGUCUGGCAGGCAGUGCCUUCAGAGAGCCUGGGCUAGAGAAUGUCCUGGUGCCUACUUCUCCAGCCUUAGUUUCCCUUACCAGUCUCCUCUUCUCAGGGAAACACCUGUGCUUACAACCCCCUUAAGACGUUGUAGCUUGUAGAACUGCUCCCUGCCAAUUCUCAACAACCAGAACUGAGUCCCUCAGGCCCCUUCCCUGCUUUCUGAGUCUUGAUAAAGCCACCGCUCUUCACCCGGUCACUCCGCCACUCACCUUGGGAGUGAUUUCUGACUCCUCCCCUUCUUGUGACCUUGACAUUUAGUUCAACUGCUUCUGUCUGAAUUAUCUCUGAUGAGAACACAUUUUAUCUCACAAUGUCUCCCUCCUUCUAGUAUCUCCACCCCACACUCAGGAAUUGUUGCAGGCUUCUUUCAUUGGGUCCAAAUUCCGCAGCCUGAGCUGCGGUUCUCAGCUCUCCACACCUUCCUCCCACUUGGCCAUGUCUCUCAGUUUCCUCAGUGCUCCUAUUGAGACAGCCAUCCCCAUGGUUCCUGCCCUCCCCUCCCUCAGAUCCCUCGUGUCCAUUCCUGCUUGUCUGACCCUACCCGGGAAGACUUUGUGUCCAUAUGUCCUCUGUCCAAAGCCUGCUUGUCUUUCUAUGCCCAUUAUAUGCUUUUGUUUCUUUUUUGUUGGGAUUAGAACCAAGGAUUUGUGGCCAGGAUUAUAAUGAUGAUCUCUGUUAUGCACAAUUAUCAUAGAAAAGACUGGAAUUAAACAGCAAUGUAGUAACCAUGGUGGUCUCUGGA